GGUUAACCCGCCGGCCUCUGGGCAGAGACUGUAAGUUGGGGUCGUGUUUGGGAGACUCGGGACCCUAUUUCCAAGGAGAACUGUGGGGGACAUGUUUAUGUUUGUUGUUUUCAAAAUCAAGCAAAGGAAACAACAGCCAAUUAAAAUGAAAUAUUUUUAUUCCCCUCGCACGUCGUCAGUGAUUUGCCCCCAGGGAUUCACAAUUUUCCCAAGCCUGUUAACGGGUGACAAUGAGUGAGUGCCUCCUGUAAUUUAAUUUUCCUGUCACACUAAAUAGAGCUACAUUGUAAACCUUAGAUCUACUCUUACUGAUAGGAUCGCCUUGUUUUGCCAUUUGCACCAUAAAGACCCCCAAAAGGGACACUGUAUUGUGACCUCUACUCUUGAAUUAUUCAAGAACUUAAUGACAUUUUCCAUUUUAAAAAGGGAACUAAUUGCCAUUGAUGCAAAGCAUGUGACCUUCUGCAGGUACCCAGUAUGAGAAUGUAACCAUCUGUAUGUGCAUAGAAGGCUGAAGAAAGCGGGUGCAAACAGGAAAAACACAUGCAAUCCUAACGAGCUCAAAAUGGACACUGGAAUCAAGCGUAGGGUUUAAUUUCACCCCAAACCGUGACACAUAGCUCCACAAAAUUCCCUUCACCAGACCUAAAGUCUGCAUAAAACCUCGCAUCAAUUCAGGCUCGUUUUGGGGGACAUGACAUGACUUUUUAGCUAGGACUGGAACAUUAAAAAUUUUGAAAGCCAGUAUGCCUUUAUAAAUGUAAAAUCACUUUGAUGUCAAGCAAAAUAUCUAAUAAUUUGCCUCCCUUCUUUUGUGGCUCUUUAAAAUUAUUUAUUUCCUCAAAAAGGAAAAGAAAACCCCAUAAAUUGGGAUGGAACCGCAUCUCAGUAUUUGCUGUUUGAAUCAGUCUUGAGUUUCUAGGAAAGCCGUUAUUGAAAUUCUUCACUAACUAGAAUUAUCUCGCUUCAAAUUACUUGGAAAUGGAUGCUUAUCUUUUUUUUUUUUUUCAAAGAAAAGACAAAACAAAAUAAAACAACAACAAAAAACUCCCAGUGUGUUUCCUACUCUUCUUUGUCUUGGAGGAAAGCAAAGGGAGAGAAAUGGACUUCACCAGUGGUCUUUGGCUUCAUCAAUUCACAGGUCAGUGUGCAGAGAUUCUGGGAUGCUGUUCCUGGUUUAUCUGAGUCAAUCCACAGCAGGUAUUAACCACUUUUAAGGUGCAAGUGGCAUCAGGAUGUUGGUAGCAAAACACUUUCUUGUGCUGGGCUGCAGAUGCUUCUUUUGAACUUUGAGUGAUGCUUGGGACAAGGAAUUGUCAUUUCUUCAGGGAACAGACAGCUCCUUUUAGAAGGAAGCUCUCAUAAACUACCCCCUCCCCCCGGCUUCAUUGAGAACUAAGUAUCCUUUCUGUGUUUGACUGUGAAUCCACAUCUCUGUCUUGUAGAAUUUCUGGAAAAGAAAAAUAAAGUACAUUUGAACAGCUAACUCGACUUUUAUAAACACCAUGUUAUAUCAACAUGUUUGACACAACUGGUGCUGAUGCAGCCGGAAGUUGUACAAAACAGAAUGCCUGACACUCCCUCUGUUGAAGUGUAUCAAAUGCUAUUUUAAAGGGAAUUGCCAUAAUACUGUUAUUACCCCAGUUAUGUAACAGAACAACUGUUUUCAUAUUUCUCUAAAACGAACCUGUUUCCCUCCCUGGUAUCAUGUGCUUUUUGAGUUCUGUGACAUGGUAGGAAAAACGCAGAAAAGAUACAUAGUUCUCAUUGUUAAAUAAUGAACACAUAUUUAAUAAAUAUACUUGAGACAUUUUCAAGUCAAGAAAAACAGGGAUAUGUAUGAGAGGAGUGGCCAGCCACCUUCUUGCAUGUCCCCUGUGAUAAAAGCAAUGCUUUAUGAGUCAAAUGAUAAUUUAGGUUUAGAGAUUUUUCACUUAGUUUUCUGCAUUUAAAACAUUUUAUAACAAUUUGAGAUAGACUGUAAGACAGAAUAAAUGAUAAACGUCUCUCAUAGCAUUCUGUAGUGUUAUAAUCCAGGAAUUUUUUCACAGUGACAGUAUACUUUCAAAAUGAAAUUUUAAUUCACUGUUCAAGUUGUCAUCAAGUCAUGUUUCUUUUCAUUUUAAAAAACAACUAUCUUGAUCAGGGAGCACUUGAAGGACACGUUAAGUACUGUGGAGAUCUCGGUGUCUUUAGGGUAGAGCAAAGUCCUCUUCUGGCCCCAUUCUGAGAUCUCAUCCUCUUCUGAAUGGAUAUCUGUGUUGGUAAUCUGGAACACCAUGGGGAGGGAUUUUAUUGUCACUGAGUUCCAGUGAAUGCUUCUAGAAGACUUGCAGGAGAUUCUGAUUGAGUACUAUGUUUCACCCAAUUCCUGUUCCCCCUCUUUACCUCCAAUAUAAAAACAACUUUGGAAAGCAUUCCCAUUUGGCCUUUGUAAAAGGGUAAAUGAAAUACCUAUCUCAUUUUAGUUCACCUGUAAAAUGGGUUUCUCAUUUCUCGAUCAAGCCUGGUGUGAAGGGACGCAUUGGACUUUAAGUUGUUUUAUACCCUUCAUCUAUUUUUUUUAAAGAUUUGAACUGUUGAUGUACAGUUUUUAAAAUGCUAGAGCUAGCAAAAGUUGACAACUUUCCAUCUGAUUGUAUUUAUUGAAACAUGUGCAUCUACAUAUAUUUACUGGACUUCUUACUGUACAUUUUUCUUCCUCUAGGAAAUGGCAUCAAGAUGGUUCAACUAAGACAUGAUCACUAAAAACAUUAUAAUAAUACCUUUUUGAAAAACUCAGUUUCUCCUGUUUACUAAAUAUUUAUUUCAUCAACAUGGGCUGCGUUCCACUGUGUCAGGAUUCUGCAUGUGGGUGGAGCACUGUUCCAGCCUGAGAAGAUGGUUCUGAGGCCACUUAGCAAGACAUUUUCCAGCAUGAGCAGGUUUCUCUGUGGAAAUAGUGACACCUGUUCUGGUGUGUUGUCUUUCCUCAGGGAACUUAAGGGGUACAAAGCUCCUGAAAAUGUUCUUUAUGCUGGUUGAAGCUCUUAUGUCGCUGUACUGAUUCCCUACGAUGCAGAUUUGAAUCACAGAGUAAUUAAAAUAUGGAUCAAAUAAGGCUGGGGCUCACCAAGGCUGAAAGCUGUAGCCAUUCAAGGCAUCAUUUCUGUCAUGAAAAUAUAGGACCUUUUCAAAACAUGCCUUCAGGAAGGUGUUCUCUUUUCAAACAAAAGUCUAAUGACUGCAUAACUCUUCUUGACCACAUCUUACACUUUCUCUAGACUUGCUUAUUUACAGCUACUGGAACAAAAAGAUGAAAUGAAUAAAGCACACUGAUUGUCCUAAGAGUCUUCUGUGACUAAAAGCACAUGAGCUUCUCCCCAGGCUGAGCUUUGACCCUCCCAAGCAUUUCCCCAAAGGCCAUGACACUGCAUCAGAUUGCUCCUGGACACUUUCCUCAGAGUUUUCAACAAAUAUAAACUGAGGAGUGGAGCACAGCACCAGAUUUGCUAAUCAAGAGGCAAUGGUCCCAGUCCAAAUGGGUGCUGUGUGUGAAUACAGAGCCCAGGAGAAGGGAAGGAGGUCUGUGAACAUCAGGAAUUGCAAAAUCUUGCUGAACCAAUAGACCAACAGCCAUUAACAUUUGUCAAUGCAAAGAUCCUAAAAUAUACAAGUGUGGAGUUGUCCUGCCCUAAGAGCUGAAGCUGUGACAAUCACGCUGCCAUGGUAGAUAUUUAAGCUCCCCUGAGGUUACUGAAUCUAACAAUGAAUAAACAAUGAAGAGUAGCUAAUUUUUGGAAAUCUCUUUCUAUGACCGGAAAAUAUUCACAAACUCAGAGUGAUUGUUUGGGGUGAAAGAUGGUCCCAUGCCUUGUGGGCCUCUCUUUGCUAUCUAUACAACGUUGGAAAUGAACCCCUCCCUUACAGGAAAGUGAACAGCAACCAAGGUGAGCCCACCCUGGGAGGGCAGAGUGGGUGUACUUUCCUCGAAGAGCCCUGAACACAACAGGGCACACAAACAGCCACAGCACCCUCAACAAUGCCCCACCAUCUGCCCACCAGGGCACACAGAUUCACGCAGAUUCAGUGACACAUUCCAAAAAAAGGGAAUUAAGGAGGACCCAUGGCAUGGCUAAUGGGGAGAGAGCUUUACUACUUUUAGCACCAUUGCUAAUUAUUGGAGCAAAGAAAGGCAUACAAGGAAUGGAACCCAACCUGUUUAAAGUAAUAAAUGUCAACCCUAAAGUGCAUGGAACCAUCUCUCCUUCCCUUUUGAGGACUGUGUGCUUCACAAGCUGGGCGUUUGCUGCAUGGGGUUUUCUAAUGUAAUGUGAAUUUUCAAUGUGCUUUGUCUCUGUAGAGUGGCUUUAAAAAGCCCUUGAAGUCCUCAGCUUUAAAUCCAUGCUAAUAGGGGAAGUCUUUUUUUUUUUUUUUUGGAGGUGAGGAGCUUUGGUUGGGAGAAACAUUGACCCAGACUGCACUCUGGGUAAACUAGGGCAAAAGACCUGAUAUCGUCUGCAGGGUACUUAUUAACCACUGUUCAUUUGCAGGAUCAAUAUUUCCAGCAAAGGAGUCCACACUCAAGAUACACUGCUACGUCUCACUUUUUCCUUGACACAACAAUUUAUUUUAUAAAUGCAUCUGCUGGAGAAGAAAAGGCAGUACCAAGGAUUGUGUCUUUUAUCUCCAGGAUAUGCAAAGCGCAUUUAUUUUCAGCUUUUAUCUCUGGAAUUGUAUGUUGAUCCCAUACAUAUAGAUUGAUUUUGUUCAGGUAGAUAAUGAAAAGUCAAGUGGAAAAUUACACAAUGGCAUUCACGAUCCUAGUCUUAUAUCAGUAUAUAAAUUGGUUUAUUAUUUCAUUCUAUUAAAGAGGCUUUUUUUUGGUACCAGGAAAACUUCAAAAUGCAUUGUGUUGUCAGCCUCACUGAAUUUUCUUUUGGAGGAGGAGGUAGGGAGGGGAAGCCAAAGCCCCGAUUUCUCCUGCUCCUUUUGCUAAUUGUAUUGGCUAAAUGAGCUUUCACAGAGGGGGGUCCUGGCUGCUUUUUGCUCUCCCCCAGACCACUUGUAGGUUGCACACAGGGCUUCUAUAACUCUUUCUGAGUCAGGACAAAGAUAUCCGCCGUGCACACCCUGUGACAUAGGUGGAUAUUUAUUUCAUCCCGGGCAAUUCUAAAUUUUGUCAUGAUGACUGAAAGAGGCAAUCCCCUCCUGAGCAUUAAGAGGCCAGGGGUGAGAGGGUGGCAGCAUAGAAAAGCCACCACCCAGAGACAGCUUGGAGCCAUGAUCCUGGAGGAAAUGUUAUUAAUAAACAUCUUUUGGACAUUUGGUAGCCCGUGGAGCUUGCUCCAGCUUAAAGCAAUUAAUUCAGGACACUGACAUAAACUCUCCAGAUCUUUGACAGCUUGGAGCCGAAAUAAAAAUGCUAGUUCUCCGGGGAAGAGAAGAGGAUGGCUAGCCCUUUUCUGGACUGUUUGCUUAUAGGCCCAGAGAGCAACCUUCCUUGCAGAAUGAAAUGCAAGGGCACAAACAAUGUACCAGGGAGAGAAUAGAAGAUGGGAAUGAACAGUUUGAACUAUUUGCUCAGCAGAAGGGCACCACAAUGCUGGGGUAGUGGUUUUCCCAUGCGUCCACUGUCCCUUCUUUGGGAUCUUUUGUUGUCCCCUGUCUCCUUUGGCCAGAUAAAAGCACAGCUGCAGCAUUGCAGAUAACAAGUAGGCCGUACUUAUCCCCCUAAAUCUCGGGGUGCCUUUACUGUAACAAGUUAUGCUCGGCUCUCUUUUAUUUUACAAGAGGAUGGUGAGGGAGAGAAUGGAAGAACAGAGGGGGCGGACGUAUAAGACAUUUGACACUGCCUAUGUCUGAUUUCUCUUUCUUUCUUUCUUUCUUUCUUUCUUUCUUUCUUUCUUUCUUUCCUUUCUUUCUUUCUUGCAAGCUGUGAUCGGAUGCAAUCUUUGUGGGACAUUUAAAUGGAAGGGUUCAUUGAUGUGUAUUGCUUGCCAAGCCAAAAUGUUGCCUUUGGGGAAAAGGGAGAGAGGUGUUCAUGGAGUGCAGGGAAAGGAGGUUUUGGGGCAGAGAUUUUGACUUAAAAUAACCAGACUUCUUCUGGCUGCUGAAAAGAGGCAAAAGUUUUAAAUUGUCAAGUUUAAAACUAUGUUCAGUUAUGAUUUGCCACUUCUGAAUAUUAUUUUGGAUUUCCCCUUUCAUGCUUAUUUUGUUCAGAAUCCUAAUGAAUAGAGGUUGCUGGACUCAGGGUAAAAGCAGGAUGAACUGGAGAUGGGACAUACAAGGUACUUUUGGAAUUGCCAUAGAUUACACCUAUAAUCAGAGUAAAUGUCAUCAACAAAUAAUCAAAAUAUUUUUUACAUUUGCUCUUCUAAAAUCAGAGCCUAUUUUAAAUAUAAAAGAAAGUAGAUGUGAUAAUAAUAUAAACUACAGUCACAUUAAGUUGAUAUUAAAUUCAAAAUCUAACAUAGAUUUGCACUGUUGGGUGUGUGUUCCGAAUCAGUGGGUUUUCCCACUGAUGUUGAUUUCGGGAGCCAGGCUUCAAUGUUUAAUUCUAUUGUAAUGUGGUUAUUUAGCCUGAAUGGUUUUAUAAGGUGGAAAGGCAAAAAAUUUAAUUCCGAAGAAAACUAGUGUUUUACUAUGACUGUGGUAAACAUUUCCAAAGCCCACCUGUGGGAAAUACAAAGUUUUAAUGCUGUGUGUUUUUUUGUUUUUGUAUUUUGUCUCAUCGACAAAACUGGCAGAAAAAAACGCUUUCGUAUAUUUUUCCUGCUGGGUGGUCAGAAGGAAAGGCCGUGAAGCUAAAGGUCUCCCACUGAGACGCUGUUCUGCAAGGAGCCGACCUCACGUGCCGCCGCCGCCAGAGAAGAGAGCACCUGUUCAUCUCGGCUCACUGUGAGGCUGAGCUCAGCGCUGGCAGGCGAGGGGCCGCAAGCAUCCCCCACAGCCACCGAGAGGGCAUCCCUGCAGGGAAAUCAUAUCCGACAUGCCUGUGCCCACAGCAGACUUAAGACUGCCUCUAAAAUGUCCAUGAAGCCAUUGUCCAGUAGAGCUGUUAGUUUUAACACCAGUGAGUAUUACCUUUGGUUAAAAGGAUGCAUGUGUAUAGGUGUAUGUGUGUGCGUGUGUGUUUGUGUUUUUGGACUUGUGUGGAGAAUGAAGAAAGGGUUCCAUUUAGGCAUUUGCAAAUAUUCGAUGGCAUCAUGAAAAGACAAAAAAAUCCUAUAAAAUAUAUCAUAUUUUGCUAUGAUUUUGUGUGUACAUGUAAUAAAAUUAUUAAGUAUA
rnacentral:lncRNA from 1 species